UUUAUUUGUUUCAUCCUGGCUCAGGAAGUAGUAACAAGGUCGUCGUUGAGUUUGAUCAUGGCUCAGAUUGAACGCUGGCGGCAUGCCUUACACAUGCAAGUCGAACGGCAGCACGGACUUCGGUCUGGUGGCGAGUGGCGAACGGGUGAGUAAUAUAUCGGAACAUACCCUAGAGUGGGGGAUAACGUAGCGAAAGUUACGCUAAUACCGCAUACGAACUAAGGUUGAAAGUGGGGGAUCGCAAGACCUCAUGCUCAUGGAGUGGCCGAUAUCUGAUUAGCUAGUUGGUGAGGUAAAGGCUCACCAAGGCGACGAUCAGUAGCUGGUCUGAGAGGACGACCAGCCACACUGGAACUGAGACACGGUCCAGACUCCUACGGGAGGCAGCAGUGGGGAAUUUUGGACAAUGGGGGCAACCCUGAUCCAGCAAUGCCGCGUGAGUGAAGAAGGCCUUCGGGUUGUAAAGCUCUUUUGUCAGGGAAGAAACGGUGAUCUAUAAUAUAGAUUGCUAACGACGGUACCCAAGAAUAACCCG
rnacentral:rRNA from 1 species